UGAUACAGUAGUUGGCAGAACCCUUUGCAUCCUCAGAUGGAAGAUGUGACAAGGAUGCAGAGGGUCAUCAUAAUUACACAGUGGCAAUCUUGGAGGAACAGGAGGCUGGCAAGGAAAACACAAGAGAAAAGCUUACAACCUUGAUGUUGGCAAAGAUUUUUCUGGUAGGACACAAAAAGCACCAACCAUAAAAAAAAAAGGCCCACAGGAAACUACGUGCUGAACUCACACGGUCCUCUCCUUCAAAGAGCAGAGAGCUACUUGGAAGAUGGAAGAGCUACCGCAGAUGGAAGCCAUCUCCUUAAACCAGAGAUCUUCUUGCCCACGCACUUCCCUGGCGGGCAGUGUUGAGUACAGAAAGAGCUGGCAGGUUCAACAGUUGCAACGGGGAGACCUUUUAAAAAAAAAUCUGGACAUUGUAGACAUUAUUGAUUAACAUAUACAUGGAGGCACAUGAAUGCGGAUGAGGGGUAAAAAGCAACUCAAUCAAUAGAUGCUUUCCUUCUGUUCCUGA